UGAUUCCUAACCAGUUUGAUCAUGUGAC
rnacentral:sRNA from 1 species